AUUGAACGCUGGCGGCAGGCCUAACACAUGCAAGUCGAACGAGUGGCGGACGGGUGAGUAAUGUCUGGGAAACUGCCCGAUGGAGGGGGAUAACUACUGGAAACGGUAGCUAAUACCGCAUACCAUCGGAUGUGCCCAGAUGGGAUUAGCUGGUAGGGGGGGUAACGGCUCACCUAGGCGACGAGCCCUAGCUGGUCUGAGAGGAUGACCAGGCACACGGUAACGGAGACACGUUCCAGACUCCUACGGGAGGCAGCAGUGGGGAAUAUUGCACAAUGGGCGCAAGCCUGAGGCAGCCAGGCCGCGUAGAUGAAGAAGGCCUUCGGGUUGUAAAGUACUUUCAGCGGGGAGGCGUUACCCGCAGAAGAAGCACCGGCUAACUCCGUGCCAGCAGCCGCGGUAAUUC
rnacentral:rRNA from 1 species